rnacentral:tRNA from 1 species
GCUUCCUUAGCUCAGCUGGAUAGAGCAAUGCCCUCCUAAGGCAUAGGCCACAUGUUCGAAUCAUGUAGGGAGUACCA